CCUACGGGAGGCAGCAGUGAGGAAUAUUGGACAAUGGGCGCAAGCCUGAUCCAGCCAUGCCGCGUGCAGGAAGACGCAUCUAUGGUGUGUAAACUGCUUUUGUACGGGAAGAAACACUCCCUCGUGAGGGAGCUUGACGGUACCGUAAGAAUAAGGAUCGGCUAACUCCGUGCCAGCAGCCGCGGUAAUACGGAGGAUCCAAGCGUUAUCCGGAAUCAUUGGGUUUAAAGGGUCCGUAGGCGGUUUAAUAAGUCAGUGGUGAAAGCCCAUCGCUCAACGAUGGAACGGCCAUUGAUACUGUUAGACUUGAAUUACUAGGAAGUAACUAGAAUAUGUAGUGUAGCGGUGAAAUGCUUAGAUAUUACAUGGAAUACCAAUUGCGAAGGCAGGUUACUACUAGUGGAUUGACGCUGAUGGACGAAAGCGUGGGGAGCGAACAGGAUUAGAUACCCUGGUAGUCCACGCCGUAAACGAUGGAUACUAGCUGUUGGGCGCAAGUUCAGUGGCUAAGCGAAAGUGAUAAGUAUCCCACCUGGGGAGUACGUUCGCAAGAAUGAAACUCAAAUGAAUUGACGGNUGAGAGAGACGAGACGACGACGAGGGAGGAGG
rnacentral:rRNA from 1 species